rnacentral:ncRNA from 1 species
UCGAGCGAGAGCGUGCAAGUCGGGACCCGAAAGUCUGGUGAACUAUGCCUGAGGAGGUUGAAGCCAGAGGAAACUCUGGUGGAGGACCGUAGCGAUUCUGACGUGCAAAUCGAUCGUCAAAUUUGGGUAUAGGGGCGAAAGACUAAUCGAACCGUCUAGUAGCUGGUUCCCUUCGAAGUUUCCCUCAGGAUAGCUGGCGCUCUGUCGCAGUUUUAUCUGGUAAAGCGAAUGAUUAGAGGUCUUGGGGGCGAAACGCCCUCAACCUAUUCUCAAACUUUAAAUUGGUAAGAAGCCCGACUCGCUCGUUUGGAGCCGGGCAUGGAAUGCGAGUGCCAAGUGGGCCACUCUUGGUAAGCAGGACUGGCGAUGCGGGAUGAACCGAACGCCGGGUUAAGGCGCCCGACGCGACGCUCAUCAGAGCCCACAAAAGGUGUUGGUUGAUAUAGACAGCAGGACGGUGGCCAUGGAAGUCGGAAACCGCUAAGGAGUGUGUAACAACUCACCUGCCGAAUCAAUCAGCCCUGAAAAUGGAUGGCGCUGGAGCGUCGGGCCUAUACCCGGCCGUCGCGGCGGUACGAGCAUCGAGUUGGUGCGCUAGGCCGCGACGAGUAGGAGGGCCGCGGCGGCGGGCGUAGAAGCCUAGGGCGCGAGCCCGGGUGGAGCAGCCGUCGGUGCAGAUUUUGGUGGUAGUAGCAAAUAUUCAAAUGAGAACUUUG